ensembl:lncRNA
AGAGGAAAGACGUGACGGCAGCAGUCCUUCCAGCCUCUCCGCCUCGCCGGACGCAGCCGAGCGUUCACUCGCUGCCGUUUGCUCGCUCGUUACUGAACAGAAGUUCAUGUUGCCUUCAGAACUGAGAACGCCUGUCUGCUGAUAAUCACAACCCGCCUGGAUCCUUCUUCAUGUUCCCAGUGCUUCUUUUUAACAGCAGAUAGCGCCGCAGCAUGUCGUGUUAGAGCGUUUGGACUCGGAGGAGAACACCGAUGGGAACAACCGGCGCAGCCUGAAAGACAUUCUCUACUUUUUUCCACUGAUUUUCUCUUUUUACUAAGUAAGGAAGACGCCGGGUUGGUGGAUUCAUCCCCCCAUAACUCCCCAUUACCCCCCUUUGGAUGUGACACUUUGAGCCAUGCUGCUGCUGCUGCUGCUGCUCUGCCUGCAAACCUCACAGCAAGAACAGACUCCUCCUGGUCGGUGUGACAUCUCAGACAGGUUGGACGUUCACACCUCCUGCUCUUCUUGUGCCGCCAUCAACAGGUGCCCCCCCGGCUUCCGCAGCGCGGGCACCGCCAACUGCAGGUAAGCACCAACCGCGAGCUGGGUAGAACGAGCAGAGUGCAGGUACGAGUCGACUGCAGGUACGAGAAGACUACAGGUACGAGUAGAAUGCAGGUACGGGUAGACUACAGGUACGAGUAGAAUACAGGGACGAGUCGACUACAGGUACGAGCAGAGUGCAGGUACGAGUAGAAUGCAGGUACGAGCAGAGUGCAGGUACGAGUCGACUGCAGGUACGGGUAGAGUGCAGGUACGAGUAGGCUACAGGUACGAGUAGAAUACAGGUACGAGUAGACUACAGGUACGGGCAGAGUGCAGGUACGAGUAGAAUACAGGUACGAGUAGACUACAGGUACGAGUAGACUACAGGUACGAGUCGACUGCAGGUACGGGUAGAGUGCAGGUACGAGUAGGCUACAGGUACGAGUAGAAUGCAGGUACGAGCAGAGUGCAGGUACGAGUCGACUGCAGGUACGGGUAGAGUGCAGGUACGAGUAGGCUACAGGUACGAGUAGAAUACAGGUACGAGUAGACUGCAGGUACGGGUAGAGUGCAGGUACGGGUAGAGUGCAGGUACGAGUAGGCUACAGGUACGAGUAGAAUACAGGUACGAGUAGACUACAGGUACGAGUCGACUGCAGGUACGAGUAGAAUACAGGUACGAGUAGAAUACAGGUACGAGUAGACUACA